CUCACUAUGUUGCUCAGGUGGGUCUUGAACUCUUGGCCUCAAGCAGUCUUCUGCUUUGGCCUUCCAAAGUGCUGAGAUUAGAGGCGUAAGCCAAUAUAUCCAGAAGAUAACAUAAUCAAUAGUUUACAUAAGCUAGUUAGGUCAAGAAUUAUCCCACUACGUCUCUGAUCAAGCUGCAGUACAAACCAUACAGUCACUCAGUUUUAAUAAUUUAACAAAAUUUUUACGAAGGUGGCUAUGUACCACGCAUUGCUUUAAAUUUUUUGAAAUAUUAACUCAUUUAAUCUUGAUAACAACUCUGAGGUUAUUAUCCUUAUUUUAGGGAUUAGGACAUAGAGGACCAGAGAGGGUCAGUGACUCUUCUAUACUAGAAGCAGCUGGUUGCAGGGCUGAAAUUCCAAUCCAGGCCACUGAACUCGAGACUGGGCUCCAAACCAAUGCUCUGUGCUAUUUUCUUAGAUCAACUAUUUGCAAUGAUGCUUUCCAAAACCUUGUUACAGGUUAAUCAAAACACAAAAUGCUGAAAAAACUGAGUCCCUUAUUGUCAUCAGGACAUCACUUAAAGCAAGCUUGUCUAAUCUGCCUUAUUUUGUUGUUGUUCUGUUUUGUUGUAUUUUAGGCUUUCAGCAGCCUGAAGCCAUAGUUUUUAGUUUCUGUCUCUAGUGAUAAGCAGAAAGAGGGAUGAGGAAAGGGCUUUACUGGCCCAACCAGACACAGAAACUAAGAACAAAUGGCUGUACAAGUGAACUGUCAGUGUGGGCAUUGCAUGCGCUCAUGACUGUUUAUUAAAGUGAAGAAGAGUAGCAUUAUUAUUGUUAGACCAAAAGGAGGAUGCCUGUUGCUUACGACUUCCCAGAGUCUGUUCGUGAAAUAUAUGUUGAAGCCGUGGGUUUUCUCUCUACUGCCAAACCCCUCAUCGAAACCACUGCCACCUGGCAUCUGAACUACUGCACUGGCUGACUAGCCAGCCUCCCACUUCCAUCUGGAUUCCUCAAAUCCACUUGCAACGUUACAGCAGAAUGAUUUCUUAAAAUGGUAAGGACAAAAGGGAUAUGACAAUUCUUUCAAUAAG
rnacentral:lncRNA from 10 species